rnacentral:rRNA from 1 species
CCUACGGGUGGCAGCAGUGGGGAAUAUUGGGCAAUGGAGGAAACUCUGACCCAGCGAUGCCGCGUGAGUGAAGAAGUUCUUCGGCUUGUAAAGUUCUUUCGUCAGGGAAGAAAUCAAUGACGGUACCUGACGAAUAAGCUCCGGCUAACUACGUGCCAGCAGCCGCGGUAAUACGUAGGGGGCAAGCGUUAUUCGGAAUUACUGGGGGUAAGGGGUGCGUGGACGGUUGUACAAGUAUGGAGUGAAAGGCGGGGGCCUAACCCCCGGUCUGCUCUGGAAACUGUAUGGCUGGAGUGCAGGAGAGGUAAGCGGAAUUCCUAGUGUAGCGGUGAAAUGCGUAGAUAUUAGGAGGAACACCAGUGGCGAAGGCGGCUAACUGGACUGUAACUGACGUUGAGGCUCGAAAGCGUGGGGAGCAAACAGGAUUAGAUACCCCUGUAGUC